GAAGGCAGCCCCUGGGAUAAUAUUGACGCUCAUGCACGAAAGCGUGGGGAGCAAACAGGAUUAGAUCCCUUGGUAGUCCACGCCUUAAACGAUGUCUACUAGUUGUUGGUGGAGUAAAAUCCAUGAGUAACGCAGCUAACGCGUGAAGUAGACCGCCUGGGGAGUACGGUCGCAAGAUUAAAACUCAAAGGAAUUGACGGGGGCCCGCACAAGCGGUGGAUUAUGUGGAUUAAUUCGAUGCAACGCGAAAAACCUUACCUGGCCUUGACAUGCCACUAACGAAGCAGAGAUGCAUUAGGUGCUCGAAAGAGAAAGUGGACACAGGUGCUGCAUGGCCGUCGUCAGCUCGUGUCGUGAGAUGUUGGGUUAAGUCCCGCAACGAGCGCAACCCUUGUCAUUAGUUGCUACGAAAGGGCACUCUAAUGAGACUGCCGGUGACAAACCGGAGGAAGGUGGGGAUGACGUCAGGUCAUCAUGGCCCUUAUGGGUAGGGCUACACACGUCAUACAAUGGCCGGGACAGAGGGCUGCCAACCCGCGAGGGGAGCUAAUCCCAGAAACCCGGUCGUAGUCCGGAUCGCAGUCUGCAACUCGACUGCGUGAAGUCGGAAUCGCUAGUAAUCGCGGAUCAGCUUGCCGCGGUGAAUACGUUCCCGGGUCUUGUACACACCGCCCGUCACACCAUGGGAGCGGGUUCUGCCAGAAGUAGUUAGCCUAACCGCAAGGGGGGCGAUACCACGGCAGGUUC
rnacentral:rRNA from 1 species